rnacentral:rRNA from 1 species
CCUACGGGAGGCUGCAGUGGGGAAUAUUGCGCAAUGGGCGAAAGCCUGACGCAGCGACGCCGCGUGAGGGAUGAAGGUCUUCGGAUCGUAAACCUCUGUCAGCAGGGAAGAACGGUCACUGUGCUAAUCAGCAGUGAAUUGACGGUACCUGCAAAGGAAGCACCGGCUAACUCCGUGCCAGCAGCCGCGGUAAUACGGAGGGGGCGAGCGUUAAUCGGAAUUACUGGGCGUAAAGCGCUCGUAGGCGGUAUGUCAAGUCAAGGGUGAAAUCCCCGCGCUCAACGUGGGAACUGCCUUUGAAACGGGCAGACUGGAGUGUGUGAGAGGAUAGUGGAAUUCCAGGUGUAGGAGUGAAAUCCGUAGAUAUCUGGAGGAACAUCAGUGGCGAAGGCGACUAUCUGGCACAUAACUGACGCUGAGGAGCGAAAGCGUGGGUAGCAAACAGGAUUAGAUACCCUGGUAGUC